GAUAGCACCUCCUCCUCACUUAGUUCACCGUAGCGCAGCAGUGCUGCCUCUCCUCCUCUCCCUCGCCGAAAAGAGCCCGUCGCUCUUGGCACUUUGGCAGCCGAGCAGGGACGCGCAAGGAGCACCUGUAGCUGCCGCCGACGAGGAGCGUCCGUACGGGACGAAGAAGAAGCCGCCGCCCGCAACUGUCGACUAGUGGUAUUCCUGCUCGAUCUGGACCUGUCGCACCUCUUCCCCGACGUGCCUGGCUCCGCAGCUCCAAGCCUCCGCCGUCGACCGCCAGCUCUCCCGGUAAGCUCUCGAUCGCUGCCGUGGAGCGCGUCGGCCAUGCAGCUCUGUCCAGACGCCAUGCAAGUUGCCGUCCGCGUAGACAUCUCCAGCACGUACAAGCUGCUCCGCUGGGCCAUCGCUAGUCCACCUUGCCAUCCUCUCGCAGUUCUCGUCAAGCUUCGGCCGUCCCAGAUUCAAAUGUUGACGAGUUUGAAGGAGAGGAAGGAUUCGAAGAAUUUGGAGAAGUCCAGGGACAAACAAGCCAACCAAGGCAAGCCA